UGGGGAAUAUUGCACAAUGGGCGCAAGCCUGAUGCAGCGAUGCCGCGUGAGGGAAGAAGGUUUUAGGAUUGUAAACCUCUGUCUUUGGGGACGAUAAUGACGGUACCCAAGGAGGAAGCUCCGGCUAACUACGUGCCAGCAGCCGCGGUAAUACGUAGGGAGCGAGCGUUGUCCGGAAUUACUGGGUGUAAAGGGAGCGUAGGCGGGAUUGCAAGUCAGAUGUGAAAACUAUGGGCUCAACCCAUAACUUGCAUUUGAAACUGUAGUUCUUGAGUGAAGUAGAGGUAAGCGGAAUUCCUAGUGUAGCGGUGAAAUGCGUAGAUAUUAGGAGGAACACCAGUUGCGAAGGCGGCUCUCUGGACUGUAACUGACACUGAGGCACGAAAGCGUGGGGAGCAAACAGG
rnacentral:rRNA from 2 species